rnacentral:rRNA from 1 species
UAGGGAAUCUUCCGCAAUGGACGCAAGUCUGACGGAGCAACGCCGCGUGAGUGAAGAAGGAUUUCGGUUCGUAAAACUCUGUUGUUAGAGAAGAACAGCGCAUAGAGUAACUGUUAUGCGUGUGACGGUAUCUAACCAGAAAGCCACGGCUAACUACGUGCCAGCAGCCGCGGUAAUACGUAGGUGGCAAGCGUUGUCCGGAUUUAUUGGGCGUAAAGCGAGCGCAGGCGGUCAAUUAAGUCUGAUGUGAAAGCCCCCGGCUCAACCGGGGAGUGUCAUUGGAAACUGAUUGACUUGAGUGCUGAAGAGGAGAGUGGAAUUCCAUGUGUAGCGGUGAAAUGCGUAGAUAUAUGGAGGAACACCGGUGGCGAAAGCGGCUCUCUGGUCUGUAACUGACGCUGAGGCUCGAAAGCGUGGGGAGCGAACAGG